CAGCUGCUUAAUCCUAUAUACACGUCUGUCUUCCUACAGUUUUCCCUACAAAAGAAACUUUCUUGGGGCUCCUGGGUGGCUCAGUUGGUUGGGUGUCUGCCUUGGGCCCAGGUCAUGAUCUCAGGGUCCUGGGAUCGAGCCCCGCAUCGGGCUCUCUGCUCAGCAGGGAGCCU